CUCGGGCAAGCAGAGGCGAACAGCACCCCACGGAAACGGGGUUGGUUGCCGGUGGCUUUUCAUGCCCGGCAGAAAGGCUGUUUGUUGCAUUCGUUAARCACGGCCCCUGCGACGAGGCCUUAAUGCCCCAGUGGGCAGAGCUGCCCGGCUGUGCGACGGACUCAGAGGCUGGGGCCCCAAACUCACGACUAAUGGCAGAAUCUGAAGAACCACACAACGCGUUAUGAACACAUUGAGCAGAGCAUCUCAUCUCAGUUGGACUUGUCCUUGCUGCUAACCCGUGACUAAAGCUGAGCCUCC
rnacentral:lncRNA from 1 species